rnacentral:rRNA from 1 species
UACAGAGGGUGCAAGCGUUAAUCGGAAUCACUGGGCGUAAAGGGUGCGUAGGUGGUUGAAUAAGUCAGAUGUGAAAUCCCUGGGCUCAACCUAGGAAUUGCAUUUGGUACUGUUCAGCUAGAGUGCAGUAGAGGAAAGUGGAAUUUCCGGUGUAGCGGUGAAAUGCGUAGAUAUCGGAAGGAACAUCAGUGGCGAAAGCGACUUCCUGGACCAGUACCGACGUUCAGGCACGAAAGCGUGGGGAGCAAACAGG